rnacentral:rRNA from 1 species
GCGGCAAACGGGUGAGUAAUAUCUGGGAAUCUACCCAAAAGAGGGGGAUAACUACUAGAAAUGGUAGCUAAUACCGCAUAAAGUUGAAAAACCAAAGUGGGGGACCUUCAUAAGCCUCAUGCUUUUGGAUGAGCCCAGAAGAGAUUAGCUUGUUGGUAAGAUAAAAGCUUACCAAGGCAACGAUCUCUAGCUGGUCUGAGAGGAUAACCAGCCACACUGGAACUGAGACACGGUCCAGACUCCUACGGGAGGCAGCAGUGGGGAAUAUUGCACAAUGGGCGAAAGCCUGAUGCAGCUAUGCCGCGUGUAUGAAGAAGGCCUUAGGGUUGUAAAGUACUUUCAGCGGGGAGGAAAAAAAUAAAAUUAACAAUUUUAU